rnacentral:rRNA from 1 species
UAAAUAGUCAGGCCGGCUUUUGCUGGUCGCAGACUUCUUAGAGGGACUGUCAGCGUCUAGCUGACGGAAGUUUGAGGCAAUAACAGGUCUGUGAUGCCCUUAGAUGUUCUGGGC